rnacentral:rRNA from 1 species
UGUCGGGGUAAUGGCCCAACAAGCCAGUGAUCGGUACGGGUUGUGGGAGCAAGAGCCCGGAGUUGGAUUCUGAGACACGAAUCCAGCCCUACGGGGCGCAGCAGGCGCGAAAACUUUACAAUGCGGGCAACCGUGAUAAGGGAACCUCGAGUGCCUGUAUAUGCAGGCUGUCCAGGUGUCUAAAACACACCUGAAGAAAGGGCCGGGCAAGACCGGUGCCAGCCGCCGCGGUAAUACCGGCGGCUCGAGUGGUGGCCACUUUUAUUGGGCUUAAAGCGUUCGUAGCUGGGUUGUUAAGUCUCUUGGGAAAUCUGGCGGCUUAACCGUCAGGCGUCUAAGGGAUACUGGCAAUCUUGGAACCGGGAGAGGUGAGGGGUACUUCGGGGGUAGGAGUGAAAUCCUGUAAUCCUCGAGGGACCACCUGUGGCGAAGGCGCCUCACCAGAACGGCUUCGACAGUGAGGGACGAAAGCUGGGGGAGCAAACCGGAUUAGAUACCCGGGUAGUCCCAGCUGUAAACGAUGCGCGUUAGGUGUAUCGGUGACCACGAGUCACCGAGGUGCCGAAGGGAAACCGUGAAUCGUGUCCGCCUGGGAAGUACGGUCGCAAGGCUGCAAACUUAAAGGAAUGGCGG